UCUGAUGUUGUCCGUUUCAAGUCUCAUAUAAACAUAGCUGCUGAUUUACUGUCUUGUGAGAUUUCUGUCAGAAAUGGUGCUACUGUGACCGACAAGGCUCUUUUGACAUGAGAGUUGUGCCAAUUCAUCUAUAAUGAACCUCCACUUGGAUCCUUGGAAUCAAAAGCCAUUGUGGAACUUCUCCUCGACAGUAUGUUGGGUAGUGAACUCUGUGAAAGUUCUUUUGUGCAUGGCAUCACGGUUUUGUUGACACUACUACAGGUUCACAGGGAUCCACAAUUGCUGUCCAGCGAGCCAGAAGUAUUGAUUUCUAGCUGAUGCUGUCGUUUCACCUUGUUUUCGAAACACUGUGGAGGACAUCAUUCCACGUUUAAAAGACUUUCAUCAAAUUCUGUCUCAACUUCCUAAUACCUGGCCCUGCAACAUUCAGCCCCAGUGCUAAACCACUUAGCCCCGGCUCCAAGUUACUGUGCCCUGGCCUACACUUCCAUUCCGUGGCUCUUCGCUGCUCUACUCUCGCUCAGUGCUACACCACUCGGCCCCGGCUCAAAGUUACUAUGCCCCGGCCUAC
rnacentral:lncRNA from 1 species